rnacentral:rRNA from 1 species
GCCCUUCAGCAGCCGCGGUAAUACGAAGGGUGCAAGCGUUACUCGGAAUUACUGGGCGUAAAGCGUGCGUAGGUGGUUGUUUAAGUCUGUUGUGAAAGCCCUGGGCUCAACCUGGGAAUUGCAGUGGAUACUGGGCGACUAGAGUGUGGUAGAGGGUAGUGGAAUUCCCGGUGUAGCAGUGAAAUGCGUAGAGAUCGGGAGGAACAUCCAUGGCGAAGGCAGCUACCUGGACCAACACUGACACUGAGGCACGAAAGCGUGGGGAGCAAACAGGAUUAGAUACCCUGGUAGUCCACGCCCUAAACGAUGCGAACUGGAUGUUGGGUGCAAUUUGGCACGCAGUAUCGAAGCUAACGCGUUAAGUUCGCCGCCUGGGGAGUACGGUCGCAAGACUGAAACUCAAAGGAAUUGACGAGGGCGNAUUUCUNCGGNNCCCCACNUCAUUGCGGCGGGGCGC